UACGUAGGGCGCGAGCGUUGUCCGGAAUUAUUGGGCGUAAAGAGCUCGUAGGCGGUUUGUCGCGUCGGUUGUGAAAACCCAAGGCUCAACCUUGGGCCUGCAAUCGAUACGGGCAGACUAGAGUACUGCAGGGGAGACUGGAAUUCCUGGUGUAGCGGUGAAAUGCGCAGAUAUCAGGAGGAACACCGGUGGCGAAGGCGGGUCUCUGGGCAAUAACUGACGCUGAGGAGCGAAAGCGUGGGGAGCGAACAGG
rnacentral:rRNA from 1 species